rnacentral:siRNA from 1 species
UAGAGUGCUCAAAGCAAGCCU